CAACCUGCCCAUCACUUGGGGAUAACCUUGCGAAAGUAAGACUAAUACCCAAUGACGUCUCUANAANACAUCUGAAAGAGAUUAAAGAUUUAUCGGUGAUGGAUGGGGAUGCGUCUGAUUAGCUUGUUGGCGGGGUAACGGCCCACCAAGGCGACGAUCAGUAGGGGUUCUGAGAGGAAGGUCCCCCACAUUGGAACUGAGACACGGUCCAAACUCCUACGGGAGGCAGCAGUGAGGAAUAUUGGUCAAUGGACGAGAGUCUGAACCAGCCAAGUAGCGUGCAGGAUGACGGCCCUAUGGGUUGUAAACUGCUUUUAUAAGGGAAUAAAGUGAGUCUCGUGAGACUUUUUGCAUGUACCUUAUGAAUAAGGACCGGCUAAUUCCGUGCCAGCAGCCGCGGUAAUACGGAAGGUCCGGGCGUUAUCCGGAUUUAUUGGGUUUAAAGGGAGCGUAGGCCGGAGAUUAAGCGUGUUGUGAAAUGUAGACGCUCAACGUCUGCACUGCAGCGCGAACUGGUUUCCUUGAGUACGCACAAAGUGGGUGGAAUUCGUGGUGUAGCGGUGAAAUGCUUAGAUAUCACGAAGAACUCCGAUUG
rnacentral:rRNA from 1 species